GACAGAGGGGGCAAGUGUUGCUCGGAAUUACUGGGCGUAAAGGGCGUGUAGGUGGGAUGGCAAGUCGGUCGUGAAAUCCUUCGGUUCAACUGAGGAAUGUCGAUCGAUACUGCUGUUCUUGAGGGUUGCAGAGGAGACUGGAAUUCCUGGUGUAGCGGUGAAAUGUGUAGAGAUCGGGAGGAACACCGGUGGCGAAGGCGGGUCUUUGGGCAAUUCCUGACGCUGAGGCGCGAAAGCGUGGGGAGCAAAC
rnacentral:rRNA from 1 species